rnacentral:rRNA from 1 species
AACAGGAUUAGAUACCCUGGUAGUCCAUGCCGUAAACGUUGGGCACUAGGUGUGGGGGACAUUCCACGUUUUCCGCGCCGUAGCUAACGCAUUAAGUGCCCCGCCUGGGGAGUACGGCCGCAAGGCUAAAACUCAAAGGAAUUGACGGGGGCCCGCACAAGCGGCGGAGCAUGCGGAUUAAUUCGAUGCAACGCGAAGAACCUUACCAAGGCUUGACAUAUACUGGACCGCCUCAGAGAUGGGGUUUCCCUUCGGGGCUGGUAUACAGGUGGUGCAUGGUUGUCGUCAGCUCGUGUCGUGAGAUGUUGGGUUAAGUCCCGCAACGAGCGCAACCCUCGUUCUAUGUUGCCAGCACGUUAUGGUGGGGACUCAUAGGAGACUGCCGGGGUCAACUCGGAGGAAGGUGGGGAUGACGUCAAAUCAUCAUGCCCCUUAUGUCUUGGGCUUCACGCAUGCUACAAUGGCCGGUACAAAGGGUUGCGAUACUGUGAGGUUGAGCUAAUCCCAAAAAGCCGGUCUCAGUUCGGAUUGGGGUCUGCAACUCGACCCCAUGAAGUCGGAGUCGCUAGUAAUCGCAGAUCAGCAACGCUGCGGUGAAUACGUUCCCGGGCCUUGUACACACCGCCCGUCAAGUCACGAAAGUUGGUAACACCCGAAGCCGAUGGCCUAACCCUUUUGGGAGGGAGUCGUCGAAGGUGGGAUUGGCGAUUGGGACUAAGUCGUAACAAGGUAACC